rnacentral:lncRNA from 1 species
CUCUUUGUUUCCUAGAUUGUCACUCUCAGUUUGGUUGACUAAUCCAUCAAAAAGAGAAAGACUUUUCUAAAAAAUGUGAUAAAAGAUCUCUAGUGAAACGCUGGUCUAACUUUCAUCCAUUCCUAAAACACUUAGAUUGGGUGUUGGGCUACUGGGUGUUGACCAUGCCUAGAUGUGAUGUUCACCAGUUCUAGAGGUCAUACAGAGCAGCCUUGGCCAUAUCCUAUAUGUUCAGCUGAAGUCCAUAAUAUUUAGGAGAUAAUUUGCUACUCAGUCUGGACCCUCAUAGUGAAUUAUGUCUGCCUAUCAACUUUGCAAUUACAGACCCACAAUUUUAUCAACCCACCUAUGAAUGAAUGUACUCUCAAGCGAAGCUGUGAAUGUACAAAGUGGCCACUCCAGGAAUUAGCAAACAUAUGACCAUGGCAGCAAUUGCAGGGACAAUAUCCAACCAUCUAUGGCAAUAAAUUCUGGAGUAGUGAAGUCCAGCAUCCUUGACUCAACGUGGGUAAGCUCUGAGUUAUACUUACACUCCAGAGUCUGAAAACAUUUCUUAAUGUUUCAUGUGUACAUGAAUAUUUGUCUUGAGUCAGCUUCUGGGAAACUUAACUUGUAUAAAUGCCAGUUGUGGUCCUAGAAAGUGGAUCCUAAAGAAAAGUUCUAAAG